CAAAGUGCAAUGAAGAGAUCACAGUAGUGGUUAGUCUUACUGUAACAGAGAGCUGGUGGUUGGUGUGAACCAGUACAGGGAUAAUCAUGAAUUACAGUCUUGGAGCAUCUUUUUCGUAGUAAAGAUAGUAUUGUCUUUAUGAAGAAAAAGCGGUCAAUUGAUCGUUAACAGUGAAGAGAGGUAGACAGAAAUUUAGUCUACAACUAGGGUGGUACCGCGAUAAAUAUCGUCCCUACU
rfam:Bacillus anthracis str. 'Ames Ancestor', complete genome.